rnacentral:rRNA from 1 species
ACUCAAAUGAAUAGACGGGGGCCCGCACAAGCGGUGGAGCAUGCGGUUUAAUUCGAUGCAACGCGAAGAACCUUACCUACUCUUGACAUCCAUGGGAUUUUGCAGAGAUGCAGAAGUGCCUUCGGGAACCGUGAGACAGGUGCUGCAUGGCUGUCGUCAGCUCGUGUCGUGAGAUGUUGGGUUAAGUCCCGUAACGAGCGCAACCCUUGUCCUUAGUUGCUAGCAGGUAAAGCUGAGAACUCUAGGGAGACUGCCGGUGAUAAGCUGGAGGAAGGCGGGGACGACGUCAAGUCAUCAUGGCCCUUACGAGUAGGGCUACACGCGUGCUACAAUGGAUGGUACAAAGGGAUGCAGAGCCGUGAGGCGAAGCGGACCCCUCUAAAGCCAUUCGUAGUCCGGAUUGGAGUCUGCAACUCGACUCCAUGAAGUUGGAAUCGCUAGUAAUCGUAGAUCAGAACGCUACGGUGAAUACGUUCCCGGGCCUUGCACACACCGCCCGU